UGGGGAAUAUUGGGCAAUGGGCGAAAGCCUGACCCAGCAACGCCGCGUGAGGGAAGAAGGCCUUCGGGUUGUAAACCUCUGUCCUUGGUGACGAAGAAAGUGACGGUAGCCAAGGAGGAAGCCCCGGCUAACUACGUGCCAGCAGCCGCGGUAAUACGUAGGGGGCGAGCGUUGUCCGGAAUUACUGGGCGUAAAGGGUGCGUAGGUGGCCUUUUAAGUUGGAUGUGAAAUACCCGGGCUUAACUUGGGGGGUGCAUCUAAUACUGGGAGGCUAGAGUGCAUGAGAGGGAAGCGGAAUUCCUAGUGUAGCGGUGAAAUGCGUAGAUAUUAGGAGGAACACCAGUGGCGAAGGCGGCUUUCUGGACUGUAACUGACACUGAGGCACGAAAGCGUGGGGAGCAAACAG
rnacentral:rRNA from 1 species